rnacentral:rRNA from 1 species
AGGUCUAGGAUGCUGGAAUGCACUUAGUCUGAAAACUCCGGUGCCUAAGGAUGAAUCUGCGGACUAUCAGGUUGUAGUCAGGGUAAUGACCUGACUAGCCUAUGACGGAUAUGGGUUGUGGGAGCAAUAACCCAGAGAUGAUAUCUGAGACACGAUAUCAGGCCCUACGGGGCGCAGCAGGCGCGAAAACUUCGCAAUGUGCGAAAGCACGACGAGGGAAUCCCAAGUGCUUGCACGUAAGUGUAAGCUGUUUCUCUGUUUAAAACGCAGAGAGAGUAAGGGCUGGGUAAGACGGGUGCCAGCCGCCGCGGUAAUACCUGCAGCUCAAGUGGUGGCCGUUAUUAUUGGGCCUAAAACGUCCGUAGCCGGUUUAUUAAAUGCCUGGGUAAAUCGGACCGCUUAACGGUUCGAAUUCCGGGUAGACUGAUAAACUUGAGACCGGGAGAAGUUAGAGGUACUCCUGGGGUAGAGGUGAAAUUCUGUAAUCCUAGGGGGACCACCAGUGGCGAAAGCGUCUAACUAGAACGGGUCUGACGGUGAGGGACGAAGCCCUGGGGCGCAAACGGGAUUAGAUACCCCGGUAGUCCAGGGUGUAAACGCUGCUUGCUUGAUGUUAGUCGGGCUCCGAGCCCAAUUAGUGUCG